UAGAGUUUGAUCCUGGCUCAGAGUCAACGCUGGCGGCGUGCCUAACACAUGCAAGUCGAGCGCGAAAGGGGAGCAAUCCCCGAGUAAAGCGGCGAACGGGUGAGUAACGCGUGGGUAAUCUGCCUCCGAGUGGGGAACAACACCGGGAAACUGGUGCUAAUACCGCAUGACAUCGUCGGGUCUUCGGGCCUGACGAUCAAAGCCGGGGACCGCAAGGCCUGGCGCUUGGAGAGGAGCCCAAGUCGGAUUAGCUAGUUGGCGGGGUAACGGCCCACCAAGGCGACGAUCCGUAGCUGGUCUGAGAGGACGAUCAGCCACACCGGAACUGAGACACGGUCCGGACUCCUACGGGAGGCAGCAGUGGGGAAUAUUGGACAAUGGGCGAAAGCCUGAUCCAGCGACGCCGCGUGGGUGAAGAAGGCCUGCGGGUUGUAAAGCCCUUUCGGUAGGGACGAAAACUCUCGACUUAAUACGUCGAGGGAUUGACUUAACCUACAUAAGAAGCACCGGCUAACUCUGUGCCAGCAGCCCCGGUCAA
rnacentral:rRNA from 1 species